CCGCCCACCUGGACCGCGUCAGGUCACACUGCUGGUCCGUCGACGGCGACCUGUUCUGCUCACGGCGCGAGACGGUGCACCAGGUGAAUAUUGACACCAUGGAGGCCUCGGAGCUCACUGUGAAUGAAUGGAUCGCCGGGACCAUCGUCAGCAUCGUACUGAACGACAGCGGCAUCUUCGCCGCUAUGGACGACGGACGGAUACUGCUGCUGGAGCCGGACGGCGACAACUGGACGGUGCGGGUGGUGGCCGAACUGGAGCUCU